rnacentral:rRNA from 1 species
GUCUAUGGCCAUGCUACCUUGAACAUGCCCAAUCCUGUCUGAUUUCAGAAGCCAAGCAGGGUCGGGCCUGGUUAGUACUUGAAUGGGAGACCACCUAGGAAUACCAAGUGCUGUAGGUG